ACCAUUCAAACACAAAAGAUAGA
rnacentral:snRNA from 1 species